GCUACACAUGCAAGUCGAACGAUGAACCGCUUUCGGGCGGGGAUUAGUGGCGAACGGGUGAGUAACACGUGGGCAAUCUGCCCUGCACUCUGGGACAAGCCCUGGAAACGGGGUCUAAUACCGGAUAUGACUGUCCGCCGCAUGGUGGAUGGUGUAAAGCUCCGGCGGUGCAGGAUGAGCCCGCGGCCUAUCAGCUUGUUGGUGAGGUAGUGGCUCACCAAGGCGACGACGGGUAGCCGGCCUGAGAGGGCGACCGGCCACACUGGGACUGAGACACGGCCCAGACUCCUACGGGAGGCAGCAGUGGGGAAUAUUGCACAAUGGGCGAAAGCCUGAUGCAGCGACGCCGCGUGAGGGAUGACGGCCUUCGGGUUGUAAACCUCUUUCAGCAGGGAAGAAGCGAAAGUGACGGUACCUGCAGAAGAAGCGCCGGCUAACUACGUGCCAGCAGCCGCGGUAAUACGUAGGGCGCAAGCGUUGUCCGGAAUUAUUGGGCGUAAAGAGCUCGUAGGCGGCUUGUCACGUCGGUUGUGAAAGCCCGGGGCUUAACCCCGGGUCUGCAGUCGAUACGGGCAGGCUAGAGUUCGGUAGGGGAGAUCGGAAUUCCUGGUGUAGCGGUGAAAUGCGCAGAUAUCAGGAGGAACACCGGUGGCGAAGGCGGAUCUCUGGGCCGAUACUGACGCUGAGGAGCGAAAGCGUGGGGAGCGAACAGGAUUAGAUACCCUGGUAGUCCACGCCGUAAACGGUGGGCACUAGGUGUGGGCAACAUUCCACGUUGUCCGUGCCGCAGCUAACGCAUUAAGU
rnacentral:rRNA from 1 species